AAGGAGGUCUUGGAAAAGUACUAAUCGAAAGUGCUCCUAUUAGUACUUUCACGGGUAAUCAAAGAAGAAAGAAGAGAAGCUUCAAGACUAGCAAGGAAGCUACUACAAUCCAAGGAAAAAGGAGGAAAGAUAGAUCAUGUGGAGAAGAGAAAGCAGCUUGUUUGGUCAGAAAAGGAAAAGGAAGAUCACACCAAAAGGAAAGUUUCAAGUUGUGUCGACUCUACCGCCGCUUCCUACGAGAUUGACAGGAAAUCCAUCUACAACAUCACCGCUUCCUACGAGAUUGACAGGAAAUCCAUCUACAACAUCACCGUCCGCUGCACCUUCGAAGUCGCCUCGCUUCACCUUGCACCGCUGCCCAUCCG
rnacentral:lncRNA from 1 species